CAAGUUGUUCUAUUUUUUCAGUGCAAUGUUUAUGUAACCCAGCUCCAGAAGGGUUAAUAAAUAAAAUCAAUUAAUUUGCAGUCAUUAUGUAAUUAUUUCCUUAUGUUUAUAAGUGUUUUGUAUUUUAAUUUGAAAAACCUGAAGUUUAUUUUGAAGACCGGAAGUAGUAGGCCGCGCUAGUGAAGCAGUUUAACCUCACUAAUGCACAGACGGAGCACGCCACUUCACUUCCGCGUGAGAGAGAAAAACGGGAAAAAAGGUAUGGAAACUGUACAAUUUCGCAGUCAAACUGAGAAAUGAAGUAGUUGUUGAUACCAUGCUCCGAAAACUCCGUUUCAGAGAGGAAAAACCGUCGUUGAAGCACUUUCCGGCCGCGUUUCUCCUGAAAAAACCAUUGGUCAGGUUCUAUUGUGAUGCUUGGAAAGAGUGAAGCUUCAGCUUUCAUGUCUGACGAAGCUGAUGAGCGAUCCAACUGAUGGCGAGCUCCCAGUCCACCUUCGGUGCUUCAAGCAGAACUUUUAAUUCCGCCACACCACUUAAUGGAUUAAGUGGUAGGAUUUGUGUCAGUCCAACUGACCGGCAGCAACGAAAGCCUUCCUUGGAUAUCCUUGAAUCUUGACUUUUGACUUUUGGAUCCAAACCACCGAGGAACACUCCCAUUUGGACAUUUAUUUAUUUUAUUUUAUUUCUUAGUUUAUGGGCCCAAGGUUGUAAUGUUAUUGUGUUUAGUAUUGUUAAGAUCUUUGUGGAACUAAAGAGUUUCAAAUCAUUC